rnacentral:rRNA from 1 species
GACAGAGGGUGCAAACGUUGCUCGGAAUUACUGGGCGUAAAGCGCGUGUAGGCGGACUGGUGUGUCGGAUGUGAAAUCCCCAGGCUCAACCUGGGAACUGCAUUCGAAACUGCCAGCCUUGAGUGGUGGAGAGGGAAGUGGAAUUCCUGGUGUAGAGGUGAAAUUCGUAGAUAUCAGGAGGAACACCAGUGGCGAAGGCGACUUCCUGGACACCAACUGACGCUGAGACGGCGAAAGCGUGGGGAGCAACAGG